rnacentral:rRNA from 1 species
GAUUAGAGUUUGAUCCUGGCUCAGAUUGAACGCUAGCGGGAUGCUUUACACAUGCAAGUCGAACGGCAGCGCGAACUUCGGUUUGGCGGCGAGUGGCGAACGGGUGAGUAAUAUAUCGGAACGUACCCAGUAGCGGGGGAUAACUACUCGAAAGAGUAGCUAAUACCGCAUACGCCCUACGGGGGAAAGGGGGGGAUCGCAAGACCUCUCACUAUUGGAGCGGCCGAUAUCGGAUUAGCUAGUUGGUGGGGUAAAGGCUCACCAAGGCGACGAUCCGUAGCUGGUUUGAGAGGACGACCAGCCACACUGGGACUGAGACACGGCCCAGACUCCUACGGGAGGCAGCAGUGGGGAAUUUUGGACAAUGGGGGAAACCCUGAUCCAGCCAUCCCGCGUAUGCGAUGAAGGCCUCCGGGUUGUAAAGCACUUUUGGCAGGAAAGAAAUCGCAUGGGUUAAUAACCUGUGUGGAUGACGGUACCUGCAGAAUAAGCACCGGCUAACUACGUGCCAGCAGCCGCGGUAAUACGUAGGGUGCAAGCGUUAAUCGGAAUUACUGGGCGUAAAGCGUGCGCA